rnacentral:rRNA from 1 species
GACGUAGGAGGCGAGCGUUGUCCGGAUUCAUUGGGCGUAAAGAGCGCGCAGGCGGCUUGGUAAGUCGGAUGUGAAAACCCGAGGCUCAACCUCGGGCGUGCAUCCGAAACUGCUCGGCUAGAGGUAGGUAGGGGAGAUCGGAAUUCCUGGUGUAGCGGUGGAAUGCGCAGAUAUCAGGAGGAACACCAAUAGCGAAGGCAGCUCGCUGGGACGGUACUGACGCUAAGGCGCGAAAGCGUGGGGAGCGAACAGG